rnacentral:rRNA from 1 species
GACGAACGCUGGCGGCGUGCCUAAUACAUGCAAGUAGAACGCACAGGAUGCACCGUAGUUUACUACACCGUAUUCUGUGAGUUGCGAACGGGUGAGUAACGCGUAGGUAACCUGCCUGGUAGCGGGGGAUAACUAUUGGAAACGAUAGCUAAUACCGCAUAAGAACAUUUACUGCAUGGUAGAUGUUUAAAAGGUGCAAAUGCAUCACUACCAGAUGGACCUGCGUUGUAUUAGCUAGUAGGUGAGGUAACGGCUCACCUAGGCGACGAUACAUAGCCGACCUGAGAGGGUGAUCGGCCACACUGGGACUGAGACACGGCCCAGACUCCUACGGGAGGCAGCAGUAGGGAAUCUUCGGCAAUGGGGGGAACCCUGACCGAGCAACGCCGCGUGAGUGAAGAAGGUUUUCGGAUCGUAAAGCUCUGUUGUUAAGGAAGAACGAGUGUGAGAAUGGAAAGUUCAUACUGUGACGGACUAACCAGAAAGGACG